CAGAGGGUGCAAGCGUUGUUCGGAAUUAUUGGGCGUAAAGCGCGUGUAGGCGGCUUUGCAAGUCGGGUGUGAAAGCCCUCAGCUCAACUGAGGAAGUGCGCCCGAAACUGCAUGGCUUGAGUACCGGAGAGGAUGGUGGAAUUCCCGAAGUAGAGGUGAAAUUCGUAGAUAUCGGGAGGAACACCGGUGGCGAAGGCGACCAUCUGGACGGAUACUGACGCUGAGACGCGAAAGCGUGGGUAGCAAACAGGAUUAGAUACCCUGGUAGUCCACGCCGUAAACGAUGAGAACUAGGUGUUGUGGGUGUUGACCCCGCGGUGCCGUAGCUAACGCAUUAAGUUCUCCGCCUGGGAAGUACGGCCGCAAGGCUA
rnacentral:rRNA from 1 species